GCGAAGUAUAUCACAUUUUUACCAUAUGAAAGUUACGAAAUCGCAGAUGUUCACUUUUAGAAUUUUCACUAGAUUCAUUAGAAGUCCUAGAAGUACAGAAUCGGCCCCCUACUCAAGGACUCAAACAUUUCGACAGUGUCGCCACACACAGGGGGGAGAUCAAUCAGGACCUCGUCGGGUUGAGUUUCCUGCUCUCAAACUGUCGGAGCUCAAGAAACAUCCCGUGCAAUAAACGACUUCGUCGGGCCACAUUCCUCUGUGUGAAGUUGUCGCCACACACAGGGGGGAGAUCAAUCAGAACCUCGUCGGGCCGAGUUUCCUGCUCUCAAACUGUCGGAGCUCAAGAAACAUCCCGUGCAAUAAAGGACUUCGAGGAAUUUUAGGAUGUCGAGGUGAUGAUGAAGAGAUUGAUAGAUCACACCUGCUAAUUUUAUCGAUUUCUCAAUAAAGAGAGUCU